rnacentral:tRNA from 1 species
UAGGAAGUAGUGUAAUGGGAGCACUAAGAGUUUUGAUCUCUUAAGAAUAGGUUCGAAUCCUUUUUUUCUAG